rnacentral:tRNA from 1 species
GGGCAAUUAGCUCAGUUUGGUUUAGAGCAUCUGUUUUACAAGCAGGGGGGUCACUGGUUCAAAUCCAGUAUUGCCCACUUUAUUUAAAAUAAAAGAUA